AUGUCAUGAAGCCGAGUGACUUUCUUGAUUCCAGCUCUACCUGUGUACACAUUGUCAUGAACCCCAGUGAUUUUCUUGAUUCCAGCUUUACCUGUGCACACUAUCAUGAAGCCCAGUGAACUUCUUGCUACCAGCUCUACAGGCCAGUUGAAACCAGAGACUACCGGUACAUUUUUUGGUGAUCAUUUGACGAAGCCAGUUGUAGUGCUUUUACAGUUAGGGGGAGUGAGUUUACAUUUUGCUGGAACCUUGUUACAGGGCCUGUUUUGCCUGUUUGCCGCCAUCUAGAGAGUAUUCUUCAUACGCAUGUGAUUUGGUUCAAAAUGGUGGAAAAAAGAGCCGGUCAACCCAAUGUUUACUGUGGCUGGAAUUUUUUCUCUUGGAUAGUUCUGUUGAGUUCAGUACCUAAAAACCAGAAAUGAGAGCGCUCGGGCAAUGUGAAGUUUGUCGCAUAGACGGGGAUUGACCGCCUUUGUACAUAUAUGUCUACAGCUUCUCAGAUUUGACCGAAGACAGUUGUUCGGUGUUGUGAAUGGAUGUUGUUCGUCCGAAGGCCUUCCAGUCACACAGAAGAUCCUGGUUCAGUCGCACGAAGGGUCACUUCCAUUGAUAUUAGUCACAGGAAAAAUUAGGAGCACCAGUUGUAGUUUUUCAGUACCUAAGAACCUGAAAUGAGAGCGCUCGGGCAAUGUGAAGUUUGUCGCAUAGACGGGGAUUGACCGCCUUUGUACAUAUAUGUCUACAGCUUCUCAGAUUUGACCGAAGACAGUUGUUCGGUGUUGUGAAUGGAUGUUGUUCGGCCGAAGGCCUUCCAGUCACACAGAAGAUCCUGGUUCAGUCACACGAAGGGUCACUUCAUUGAUAUUAG